GUCUUAGAACUCUCAUUCUCCAAUUUUCUCAAAUAGCAUAUUGUUGUGACUCAAUUAAACUCAGCCGCGGCUCCAUCCUUUUCCCCCCUCUCGCUGCGCUUGCCACACUCCCUCUCACUCUCAGUUGUACGCGGCUCUAACAAACGUGGAUAUCCUCUUCUAACCCAAAACAGUAGUACAAGUUUUGAUCAUGAGCCACUUCUCACUCUGAAAUCUGCUCAACUCUUUCCCGACUUACCAUGUCCGAAGCAGACCCGGCCGUGGCCCUUUUGUUCAACCCUGAGCAAAUCCCAUUAUCUCUCACCCAAAAUUGUAACAACCCAAAUGCUCAAUUUCAUUUCUUCUGCCGAGUAUGAGAAAGAUCAGAGGUUUCAAGCUCGGAAAACGACUUUGCCGGGUCACCCGAUGGUUCUUCCUCUGAAAACCCACGACCCGACACGGAUACCACCGGCUUUGCCCGCCUUCAUCUCCGCCAUGCAAGUACAAGUCGCUUCGGGCGCGAAGCUACUUACUUGAGGGAAUUGGUAGGCUAUCUUUGGUUGCUGCAACUGUAGUACAGGCUGGCACAAAAAGCUUACCUCUAAGGUACUUCACUAUCAAAUGCCUUGAUUGUUUUGUUGUAUUUCUAUAUCCAUCUUAGAAUCCAUACGAAUUCAUUAGAAAAAGCUUAAAAACUCCUAAACCCAUAACUGUACAUGCAAAAAGAAAAACAAGUGGUUGUAAACAGUAUUAGAUUCAAAUCCCCACAUCAAAACUACUUGCAUAAUUGGUUAACUUUAUCAAGUGUAGGUCCUUUCAAAAUAAAAGAAUCUGGUUUGUAGCGGCGUCAAAUCUUAUCGAACAUGAUUUUGGAUAUAAUAGGAUUUCUAUGAAGGUUCAAUUUAUAUGCAUAAUGACUUUGUCUUUGGAAAGGAAAACUGAGAGCUAAUAGCUUUGUACGAGUAGUUUUUUUUUUUUUUUUUUUUUUGCCAGCUUUAUGGAUCGUUAAGCAUUUCUUAACAAGUAUAGGGUAGAGAGAUUUAGGAAAAUUCUAGAGAAUUUGUGGUGAAAUACAUAAAAAAGAAAGAGAGAAUGAAAGAACUUAUGCCAUUUUUUGACAUGUGGAGUGAAUGAUUGUGUACUGGUCUGUAUAUGCAUACAAAGCAUUCCAACACUUCAUUCAAAGUAGACCAAGAUUUUGAACCAGCUCCCUUUUCCCACCAUGCCAAAUAAAAAUCUAAAAAGGUAACUUUCUCAUUUACCCUGCAUAUUCAAAAGUUUCUGCCUAAUAUUUCAGCCUCAGAACUUUCUACAGUAUCCUCUUAGUUUUGACAUUAGCAUCAUAUCUUGGAAUAUCCUUUGUCUUCUGAGAUCACUUUGAUACUUUUAGAUCACAUUCUUCCAGUGAUAAUUGGCUAUUACUCCUGUACUGUUUUGAUUCUGUUAUGCAUUUCACCUAACACGUAGUAGUGAAACGUAGACAUAAGUGUUUGAAUCUUCAAAGCUGAGGAAAUGAUUCAUAGGCAACAGAGGUUCGGAGGUUCUAUUGAUUCUAAGGGAUAUGCAGGACUGUCUGAUGUUGAAGCUUUAUUUGGUUGAUUGGUUCUGAAUUUCGGAGGAGAUACAUGAAUAGCUACUGAGUUUUGUUGAAGCUGAGCUACUGUUGUAGGACUAAAAAGGAGGGGAUCCACCGAUGAGUUCUUAGAUUUUAUCUUCAAAAUGUUAUGGCAGUUCCUUAUAUGUGGAAUUUAUAACGUUUAAAGUGAAGCAUAUUGUUUGUCUUUUAGGUGUUUGGCAGGGGUGGAGAGGAGAUAAAUUUUUUGCAAUUGGAAGGAAUAUAAGCGCAGGUACAGGAGAAGAAUCAAAGACAAAAAACAAAUAUAUGUUCUUCUGCAGAUACAGAUACACACCACCCUCACAAACCAUAAUCUCCAGAAAGAAAUUGUUAUCGUUUCUAGAGGUAUAUGCUAUUAAUUUUGUUAUUUACGACCUGACACGGAUACCACCGGCUUUGCCCACCUUCACUCUGCCAUGCAAGUACAAGUCGCUUCUCACGGAGCUACUCACUUGGGAGAAUUGGUAGGCUAUCUUUGGUUGCUGCAUCUGCAGCUCAAUCAGCUGCAACUAUAGUACAGGCUGGCACAAAAAGCUCACCUCUCAGGGAUACAUACGAGACGGUGCAUUUGAACCACGAUGUUGGGCUGCUGCAGGGAUAUAUAUGAUACCAGCUUCUACCUAGGAUUUCCAAUUUUGUAAUAUAUAACUAUGCAAACCUGGUGAAAACACCAACUUUUGAAAUAUGUAAAUGUAUAAUGAAUAAACUUAUCAAGCACAAAAACCCGCGGCAUCGCGCGGGAGUGAUUAACUAGUGUUAUAAAAGACAUGGGUUUUCCGGUU